rnacentral:rRNA from 1 species
UUUAACUGAGCGUUCAGUUACUUGACGUAGACCCGAAACCGGGCGACCUACCCAUGAGCAGGAUGAAGCGAAAGUAAAAUUUCGUGGAGGUCCGAACCCACGAGCGUUGAAAAGCUCGGGGAUGACUUGUGGGUAGCGGUGAAAUUCCAAUCGAGCCCGGAGAUAGCUGGUUCUCCCCGAAAUAGCUUUAGGGCUAGCCUCAAGGUGAGAGAUACGGAGGUAGAGCACUGAAUGUCCUAGGGGGUAUUGCACCUACCGAAGACUAUCAAACUCCGAAUGCCGUCAUCUUAUACUUGGGAGUCAGACUGUGGGUGAUAAGAUUCAUAGUCGAAAGGGCAACAGCCCAGAUCGUCAGCUAAGGUCCCUAAAUGUAAGUUAAGUGGUAAAGGAUGUGGGAUUGCACAGACAACCAGGAUGUUGGCUUAGAAGCAGCCACUCAUUCAAAGAGUGCGUAAUAGCUCACUGGUCGAGUGAUCCUGCGCCGAAGAUUUCCGGGGCUAAAACUUACUACCGAAGCUACGGCAUCAGUAAUGAUGGGUAGGGGAGCUUCCCAUACGGGUUGAAGCAUGACCGUAAGGACAUGUGGACAGUAUGGGAGUGAGAAUGUUGGCAUGAGUAGCGAGAUGUGGGUGAGAAUCCCACAGGCCGUAAACCCAAGGUUUCCAGGGGAAGGUUCGUCCGCCCUGGGUUAGUCGGGACCUAAGCUGAGGCCGAAAGGCGUAGGUGAUGGACAACAGGUUGAUAUUCCUGUACUACCGAUAACCGUUUGAGAGAAGGGAUGACACAGUAGGAUAAGCUAAGCACACUGUUGGUUAUGUGUGCCCAAGCAUUGAGGCAGUCAAA